GCACUGCCGAGGAGUCCCAUGAUCGGACGAAACGGCCGUCCAGUGC
rnacentral:hammerhead_ribozyme from 1 species